rnacentral:rRNA from 1 species
CGAGUGACGGCAAAAGCUCAAAUUUGAAAUCUGCCUUACGGCCGAGUUGUAAUUUGUAGAUGGUAACUCUGUGGCAAGCCUUUGCUCAAGUUUUCUGGAAAGAAACAUCAUGGAGGGUGACAAUCCCGUGAGGCAUUGGUGCAGCUACGUGUAGAGUGCUAUCAAAGAGUCGAGUUGUUUGGGAAUGCAGCUCAAAGUGGGUGGUAGACACCAUCUAAAGCUAAAUAUUGGCGAGAGACCGAUAGCGAACAAGUACUGUGAAGGAAAGAUGAAAAGCACUUUGAAAAGAGAGUGAAAAAGUACGUGAAAUUAUUGAUACAGAAGGGUAUAAAAUUGGACUCAAGGUCUAGGUUCGGUAGCCUCUCGGGGUUGCUUUGUCCUAGGCCCUAAACCAGCAUCAGUUUUGGCAGGUGGAUAAACAACAUGGAAUGUAGCUGCUUGCAGUGUUAUAGACUUGUUGCAUACACCUUGCUGGGACUGAGGACCGCC